rnacentral:lncRNA from 1 species
AACUCCUUUUUUUAAAUUAUUUUUAUAUUUAUUUAUUUAUUUAUUUAUUUAUUUAUUUAUUUUUUGAGACAGAGUCUCACUCUGUCUCCCACGCUAGAGUGCAGUGGCAUGAUUUCAGCUCACUGCAACCUCCACCUCCCAGGCUCAAGCAAUUCUCCUGCCUCAGCCUCCCAAGUGUAUCAAAUGCAAUAAAAAAGAAAUCACUCACUAAAGCAUUAAGAAUUCCAAUAACAGGAGAGAAACACUAUGCAGUAGGGGGAACAGUGGAAUCACUCUAAAGAGUGAGAAAAGAAACUCUAAGACUGUAAGUUUAUCUCUAUUCCCAAAACAAACUGAGAUCAGAUCCACUCUUGUGACAGUAAGAAAACAGGUAGAUGGAGAGCCUUGAUAUAAGAAGUGUCUAAACCAGCAACACAGUUUUCAGGGGGCAGGGCUGAGAAUGAAAAGCAAGAGACAUACUGCAAAAAUGCAAAGG